UUUUAAACAAAUAAAUCUUUUAAAAGUUAAGUUAUAAAUAGCAUAUCUAUGUCCUUAUCCGUAUGUGAACAUAUUAAUGCUAUCUCUUCACACACACACACAAAAUUCCAUUUGGAAAGUCCUAAUCAAAAUAUCCAUCUCGACAUGACGUAUCUUCCUGACCCAAGGACUAAACACAAAGUCUAGUGAAGAACUAGCUAGAGAGAAGUUUCCUCUUUCAGUAAUCCUUGGAUGAAGAGGCAGUUUUCAAAAGGCCUCUCAGCUGUUGGUAAGUGGCUUUAUUUCUGAACCUUCUGGAGACAUUUCUUUAACAGAUUCAGCAGCCAUGCCCUGCCACUUAUUAAGUACAGGGCAAAUACAACAAAAAACAAAGGUGAUAAGGCCAGAACUAUGGGUUGAACUGUGUCCCCAAAAUUCAUAUGUUGAAGUAAUAAACCCCAGUACCUCAGAAUGUGGCCUUAUUUGAAAAUAGGGUCACUGCAGAUAUAAUUAGUUCAAAUGAGGUUAUAAUGGAGUAGGGCACCUAAUCCAACAUGACUGGUGCCAUUAUAAAAAGGGGAAAUUGGAUGCAGACACACAAACAUAGGAAGAACACCAUGUGGAGAUGAAGGCAAAGAUCGGCCUGAUGCUUUUACAAGCCAAGGAACACCAAAGAGUGCCAGAAAACCACCGGAAGUUAGGAGAACAGAUUCUUCCUCACAGUCCUCAGAAGGAACCAAGCCCACAGACUUCUUGAUCUCAGAUCCUAGCCUCCAGAACUGUGAGGCAUUACAUUUCUGUUGUUUAAACAGCCAGUUUGUGGUAUUUUGUUAUAGCAAAACUUGAAAACUAAUAAAGCCAGUAAGUGCAUUUCCUUCUACAAUCUUACAAUUUAGUAGAAGGGAUACAGGAGAUAUUCACUAACACUUAAGGCAGUGAUGAGUGCAUCACUUGUAUAAUCUAAUUUAUUUAUCAGAACUUAGUACCAUUAGCCCAGUUUUACAGAUGAGAAGACAGAAUAAUUUCCCCCGAAGGAACUGCAACCACAUCCCGCUUCAAGUUCUGUCUGGCUCUGCCUGUUUUGGGGUCUGUGAUCUUUAACCACUAUGCAAACUGCCUCCUGAACCACAGCAUGAUGUGAAAUAGAAAUGCCAUGGAGAAAGGACUGAAAUACAAGCAGCUGCAAUGUUCUAUUGCAAGCAAUCCGGAUUGGUGAUAUGCUGGAUCCUACUUUCCUCUCUCGAAGCCCAGGGGGAAAGAGUUUCCUGCUGUUCAUCUCCUGGUGGCCAGGGCACAGACAGGAUCUGGGGAGUCAGACUGGUCGCUCCUAACUCAGGCUUUGUCUUUGGAUCCUUGGAGUCAGAGCUGAGAAAAAAGUUAGGAUUCAUUUUGGAGGAAAACGCAGUAGCAGCAGUGACGCCCAACAUCCUGGCAAGAUUGUUCCAGAGGCCCAGUGUUCCAGAGCUCCCUCGGUCCCCACGCUUUUUCAAACCUGUUCCUUCUGCCUCCUGUUGAUUCUGUGAGUACCAGAUUUCCUUCCAAUAAAUCCCACUAGAGGCGUUGUCAGCACCAGAUUUCCUUCCAGUAAGUCCCACCAGAGAUGAUGCCUGCUGCAUGCAACCAGAACCCUCAACGACACAAGGCGACCCUCUGUGAAGAGAGGGGUUUGUGUUUUACGAGUCCACUGGGUUCUUGCUUUCCUCAGCCCUCUUAGGGCUUGCAAAACUUUGGGAUAAGAGGAUCUGAGCUCCUGCCAGAGCCCUUGAUGCUCUGCUCCUGACAUUUCAUGAGAGGACUGUGGCUCCUCCAUCUGCCACCUCAGGAAGACCGCUAAGGCUGGCUCGGGUGGAGAGUGAAGGCAGGGAGUGGACAGGACCAUUUCACUCCAUCCUUCUCAGCUCCAAAGGGCAUCCUCCUGCUGCCCAUAGCAGAAGGCACAAAGCAAUUACCACUUUGACUUUGAAUUGAAUGGGCCAAUGACUGCAAGAUGCACAAUUAUUUUAUAUACCACUGAGAAAGACGAUUACUGCUAUUAAACUAUAACACAUCAUCAAUUUUAAUGUGAAAAUUGUGAAUGUUAGAAAUGAUCAAAUACGUUGUGGCUUAUGAAAUGAAUAGAAACAAGCUUCCAAGAUGUAAACUGGCAAGGACACAGAGGCAAUUCUAAAUCAAGCUUACUAGUAUACUAUUAUUGGAGAAUAGACUUGGAGAGAUAUAAAGACCUGAGUUUUUCUGUUUUGUUUUGUUUGUUUGUUUUUUUGGAUAUGUUCUUUUCAACUUAAGAACAAAUGCCCUGGCCACUUUUAUAUAAUUCCAUGUAUGGAUAUUCAGAUGGUGAUUCUUCUUAUAACAUAUUUUUAAAUUUUUAAUAGAAAAAGGCUUAACCCCUUCAAGUUCUAUUAAAGUUUUAAAAAA
rnacentral:lncRNA from 1 species